GAAAUUAUACAUUUACACUUUGUUGAGUACCCCUUUUCAAAUUUACACUCAGGAGGAGGACAUUUUCACAAAUACCUAAUUGUUUAGUAGCCGAAAGACAAUAAUAACCCUCGCAAUUUUAACCUUUUCUCUCGAAUCUCUCUAGCUCGCCAUCGAAGGCGACGAGAUUACAGAGCUACGACGGCGAUUCUAGCAACGGCGACGACAAAAGGUCUUCUCUCUCACUAGUCACGCCGUCUCUCUGGAAAGAGCAUCCGGUGACGACGAAUAACAAUCAGACUAUACGAUUCAAAAUUUCAUCUCAAAAAAUGUCGUCUACUCCUCACGAUUCUCCUCUACACGAUUCUCCUAUACACGAUUCUCCUCUUCACGAUUCUCCUAUUCAUGAUUCUUAUCUUCACGAUUCUCUACAAUUGGAUAGCAACGAGUUUUGCACAACCUUGAAAUUGCCUGGGAGGGUUUAUGAAGCUGUAGAAACACCAGAUAAUCCCAAAGCGAUAAUCCAUCACUCAAAGAUUGAUUAUAUCGAGAAGGUGGAAGAUAUAUUAGGAAAAGAAGAGUUUUCUUUCAUAGAGAACUCUCACAUUGGGAGCAUUUUGAAGUUGGUUAAAAGGAAUAGGGUUCAAUUUUCAGAAGAGUUGUUCCAUUUUCUAAUGCAGCGAAGAGUAUUGACGCAAGGAGAGGAUCUCUGGUUUACUUUCUCGGACCAGCCUAUGAGGUUUUCACUAAGGGAAUUUCAUCUGACAACAGGCUUACGUUGUGAGGAAGAUCAGACAAUAACAGAGCCGCUGUUCAAAAUAAUGAAGAAGCCAUACAUUUGGAUGCUGGGCAAGAUUGAUAAGUUUACGGUGAGAACGUUAUAUGAAAUGUUUAAAAAGAAAGCACGAAGCAUGCCAACACUAGAAAGAUUAUCCCUUGGAACAGCAAUACUCACAGAAGCGGUAAUUAUGGCAGAAAAUCCGAGUUCUAAAAUCCCGAGAGACAGGUUGCAGCGUUAUAUGAACUAUCGCUCACACAAGAUUGCUUGGGGUAAAACUGCUUAUAGAAUCUUGAUGAGAAGUGUAAAAAGUUUGAGUGCAAGUUCCUGGACAGGAGAUAGUUAUGAAGUGAGUGGUUUUGCGCUAGCCAUAAAUCUGUGGGCAAUGUCAUCAGUGAAUGUGCUUGGUAAAUCUUUGGGAAAGCCAUGCGAGACAUCCUCUUCUUCUGAUCCGUUGUGUCUACAUUGGGACUCAACAAGAACUCCGACAAUAGCUGAAGUGUUAGAGCUGGAGAAGAUAAACAAUGUUGAGGUUAGCACAGUGAUUGGAUUGGCUGAGGAAUACAAACAUUUGGUGGGGGCAACACAUAGUGACGAUGCUGACUUUCACAGUGUUGUGAAACUAGUUCAACAAGGAUACAAAAUGAGGAGAAGCGAUUGGGAGAAAGGUUUUGUGGAUAUGUUUGUUGCAACAGAAGAUAUAGGUCAACAACGCAAGACAAAAGACGAAGAUGCAGAGCAUGGUGAAGAUCUGAACCAUAAUGAAGAUGAAGAGGAAAAGAAAGAUGAAGAGGAAAAGACAGAUGAAGAGGAAAAUAAAGAUGAAGAGUAUCAAAAGGAUAAGGAGCAAAGAAAAGAUAAAAAUCAUUCCAUGUCUAACAGCGAGAAACUUGAUAAGCUAAUCCAAAUGGUUCGUGAUUUGGAUAAGCGAGUAGUAAUGAUCCAGAAUGUUUUAGGAGUUAAGUUUAACGACAGUUCACCAAACAAAGAAGAUUGUGAAAAUGGAGCUAGUUCUGGUGAUAGAAGAAGUGCACAAGAUUAUGAAAAUGAAGAAGAUACAAUUAAUGAAGAAGCAAACUCUGAUGAUAAAAAAAAUGCACCAGAUGAUGAAAAUGAAGAAGAUACAAUUGCUGAAGCAGCAAACUCUGAAGAUACAAUUGCUGAAGAAGCAAACUCUGGCGAUGGAAGAAGUGCACUGGAUGAUGAAAAUGAAAAAGAGAUAUGUGAUGAAGAAGCAAAAUCUGGUACAGAGCAUCAAAGGGAAGAAGAGAAUAUUCUUGGGGAAAUUGAGACUACACAAAAAAUCACUCAAGACGAAGACACAGAAAAACUUGAAUCAGAAAGUUGCUUGAAACAAACGUCGCAGGUUACGUCGCCUACUCCAACAUUCAAUACUCCAAACUUUGAUACAAGGGUUUCAUCGCCUAAUCCAACAUUUACGUCUCCUAAGUUUGAUCUCCUUUCCCAAGAAAGUCAUAGUGGAAAGGGUACAAAUGAGGUUCUUAUGAGAGAUGUUUAUGAGAUUCCUGUUUUCCAACCUCUAAUGAAAAUAAAAAAGAGAUUGGUACAACAACACAGCCAGGUAAACGAAGAUGUUGAGCCUCCACUUCAAAAGAAGUUUAAAGCUGAUACAGAUAAUGUUCCGCUAAGAAGAAGUGAAAGAGGUCAAAUACCAUCCAUUCAUACACAACCACCGUUUACAGGAGCAAGGAAGAAACAUCCGAUUCUUCAUCCCUUUGAGCCAGUUGAUAAAACAAGAAAAGAAAAAAUGAGAGAAUGGAAAAUGUCAAACAAAAGAAAGAAGCUGAGAAUCAAUCAAGAGAUAGUAAACGCAAAGUGGUUUUCGGAUAUUGAAACUCCGGGAAAAAAACUUUCAAAAACGCAUAUUGAAGCAGGUUUUGAGUUGCUGAAACUGAGACAGAUAAACAAUCCAGAUUUGUUUCUGAACAAAACUGCCUUAGUUGUUGGAGUGAAGUUUCUUGAAGAAAUAGAUGAGUUUUAUGAUGAGUUUUUAGAUGACAAGAAAGGUUUCCAAUUUGGAGCAGGCUUUGACAAGUACAACAUAGAGAAGAAUAUCAACUUCCUCUAUUCGGCCAUUGCAGUAGCAGAGAAGUAUUGGCUUGGAGUUGUAAUCAACUUGGAGAAGAGAAAUAUCACAGCAUUCAAUUGUGCAGCAAUGAAGUUCACAGAUGCGAGUUUGGUCCCUUACGUUAAUGCAUAUGCGAUGGCUCUCCCAUUCAUGAUUCGCUACUUCUUCAAAGAUGUCAGCAUGGAUACAAGCAAGUUCUCGAUAAAAAUUGUAUCUGAAGGUUUCCCACAGGUAACAUCUUUAUAACCGCUUAUAAAUCUUUAUGGUAGAUUUGUAUCCAGGUUCUUCAGAUCAAAUAACUUAUAUUAUAAUUUAUCUGCUAAUAUAUUACUAAAACAUAUUUGUUUAAGGUUCUUAAAAUAGAAGACAGUGGAGUUUAUGCAUUGAAGCUGAUAGAGUGCCAUGCAAUGCGUAUAGUGGAUUUGACAAAGCUGAGUGAAGAAAAAAUUGCAAUCAUCCGAGAAAAGUUGGCGGUUGAUAUCUUCUCGGAAUUACAAUGAAUACUAAUGUGGGAAUGAACAAAAACUUUAUAGCUUGCUUAUAGUUAUGUGUGAACAACUAUCUGUUUUAUGCGUGUUUGGUAAACUUUGUUUGUAGAAUUCUGAGUAUUAUGAGUUUAUGACUUGGAUUUAUGGUUUUCCUUAAAUUUAGAAAGUUCAAUGGUAAAUUUGUAUUUCAGUAGCUUUAUAACACAUUAUUACAAAUAGUUUAUAACCUCUUAUAAAAUCAAAACAAAAUGGUUUAUUACAAAUGAAUUUACGAUAUAUAAAGGAGUAUAUAAAAGUUAUAAAGAUUUAUAAAUCGUUUUUCAAGAGCUCAUCAGUUCAUAAAACAAAAAAGAAUUAAGGUUUAUAAAGUUGUAUAAACAACCAAAAUGAUUGAAGCAAUUUAUAAAGGCUUCUAAAUCAGUUUAUAUACAAAAAUGAUGAUAUGUAAGCAACAUUAUGAGUAUACGUGCUAAUCAUAACGAGUAAGUAAUAUGGUCUAGUGGUAAGUUGAGGUUGCUUAAAAUUUCAAUUUAGACAGAAACCCGUGUUCGACCCAUGACCUCAACGAUUUAUCUGUUUUUUUAUCAUUUACCAAAAGGGAUGGCAAAACAGUAAAUUUAACUCUUCUCACGCGACACGUCUUCAUCUUCUUCACUAUGACACGUUUUUUUUUUUGCUUUCUUGUUUUCUAUCAUUUCUUCAUCGUUUCUCUAUGUCCGUAAAUUUCAAGAAGAAGAAUCAACACAACAAUCUUCCCCAUUUUGAAUCAUUAUCGUGGCAAAAGGUAAUUGAGUUUCAUCUUCAUUUUUGAAUCAACAAUCUAAAUUGAAUUGAAUUUUUGUUUGAAACCUAAUUGAUUGACUUAAAAUCUCAAUCUGUUUCAGUUUCAGUUCCAAUUCAACUUGAAUCGAAUUUAGCAAAAGUUAAUUCAAGAACAUUCACUGUAUUCUCUUUUGAUUUUUUAUAUUCAAUUUAGAUCAAAUUGAAAUUCCUAUUUGCUUUUGUAUAUACACUCCAAAAUCGAAUUGAAUUUUUGUAUGGAACCUAAUUGAUUUAUCUAAAAUCUCAAUUUGUUUCAGUUUCUUGGAUGCAUGUCGUUCAUUUGAUCUUAAUUCACCUAGUUUCUUUCUUUUCUUGAUUUUUUUUUUGUGAUCUGCAUUUCCGAUUCCUCCUCAGGAAGAUGAAAAAUAAUUUGAAGAAAAAAGGAAAACUUUUGUCUAUUGCCAAAGAUUGUGAAGUAGAAGUAUCUAUUCAAGAAGAUGGGUUCAGAGGUUCUUGGUAUAGAGCUAUCCUCGAGCAAAAUCCGACGAGAGUAACAGGAAAAAAGCUUCGGGUUAGUUACAAAACUAUGUUCAACGAAGAUGGUGUAAGUCCUUUGAAGGAAACUAUUGAAAGAAGUUUUAUUCGGCCAGUCCCGCCAGAGUGUCUGAAUGAGGGUGUCGUAUUCAAGGAAGGGUCGGUGGUGGAUGCUUAUUUUAAUAAUGGUUGGUGGACUGGUGUUAUCGUAGUUGAAAGGCCAGAUGGUAGUUUUUUGGUUUACUUUGAUGAUCCACCAGACAUAAUGAGAUUCAUCAGAAGCCAACUGAGACCUCAUGCUGAUUGGAUCGGCUCCAAAUGGGUCAAAAGCAAAAACAAGGUAUUGUUUUUUUUUGUAUGUUUUAAGUUAUAAAAUUUUGAAUGUUUGAGGGCUUUAGCUUAUAUAUGAUUGUUUUGGAAUUGAAGGUAUUGAGUCAACACAUGUUUACGAGAGGGAAGUUGGUGGAAAUGACCCGUGAAAUUAGUGAAAGUGAAAAGGAAAAAAUUUGGGUCCGAGCAUUGGUAAUUACAGAAGUUCGGAAACAAGGAGAUGAUAGAAGAAAAUUUCUGAUCAAAAUCCGGAAACCAAUGAAGUAAGCUGAUUUAUAAAUCUUUAUAAACUGAACAAUCGUUUUAAAUUUAUAAAUCAUUAUAAAUAUGUAAUCCUUUAAUUGAAAUAGGAACAGAAACAAGAGGAAGAGGAGCAACAACAAGAGGAUGACACAGAAGUCAAUACAGAUGUUGACGUCGGUGCUAAGGAAAAUGGAUCUGAAAAUCCCGUGAAAGGUUCAAAGAAACGUGGAAGAAAGGAUGGAGAAGAAAAUGAGGAUGCAUAUGAAAAGCCCGUGAAGGUUACAAGGAAAAGUGAAAGAGUAACUAAGGUAAAUAUCUCUCUGUGUAUAAUGCUUUAUAAAAUGCUGUUUAGUAUAAUCAAUGUAACUUUUUUUAUUGUGUCAUCAAAAUUGAAGGGUGGAGAAGUAAAUGAGGAUGCAUCUGAAAAGCCCAUGAAGGGUACAAGGAAAAGUAAAAGAGGAACUAAGGUGAAUAUCUCUCAGUGUAUAAGGGUUUAUAAAAUGCUGUUUAGUAUAAUCAAUGUAACUUUUUUUAUUGUGUCAUCAAAAUUGAAGGGUGGAGAAGUAAAUGAGGAUGCAUCUGAAAAGCCCAUGAAGGGUACAAGGAAAAGUAAAAGAGGAACUAAGGUGAAUAUCUCUCUGUGUAUAAUGCUUUAUAAAAUGUUGUUUAGUAUACUCUAUGUAACUUUUUUUAUUGUGUCAUCAAAAUUGAAGGAUGGAGAAGAAAAUGAGUAUGCAUAUGAAAAGCCCGUGAAGGUUACAAGGAAAAGUGAAAGAGUAACUAAGGUAAAUAUCUCUCUGUGUAUAAUAGUUUAUAAAAUGUUCUUUCUGAUUAUCAUUUCUGAUUUACAAAGGCUGUUAUUAAAAUCGAAAUUGCUAAGUUAUUUAUUUGUCUUGUAAUAUAAGGGAAAGAAGAAAGGUGUAACACCCCCACGUGAAGUACAACAACAAGUAGAAGAUCAUGCAGAAACCAAUGAAGUAAGCUGAUUUAUAAGUCUUUAUAAACUGAUUGACUUUUUAAAUGUUUAAUAUGCUCUAUGUAACUUUACUUAUUGUGUCAUUAAAAUUGAAGGAUGGAGAAGGGAAUGAGGAUGCAUCUAAAAAGCACGUGAAGUUUACAAAGAAGAAUGGAAGAGGAAAUAAGGUAAAUAUCUCUCUAUGUAUAAUGGUUUAUAAAAUAUUCUUUCAAAUUUCAUUGACUACAUCCAAUUAUCAUUUCUGAUUU